AUUGAACGCUGGCGGCAUGCCUUACACAUGCAAGUCGAACGGUAACGGGUCCUUCGGGAUGCCGACGAGUGGCGAACGGGUGAGUAAUAUAUCGGAACGUGCCCAGUAGUGGGGGAUAACUGCUCGAAAGAGCAGCUAAUACCGCAUACGACCUGAGGGUGAAAGGGGGGGAUCGCAAGACCUCUCGCUAUUGGAGCGGCCGAUAUCAGAUUAGCUAGUUGGUGGGGUAAAGGCCUACCAAGGCAACGAUCUGUAGUUGGUCUGAGAGGACGACCAGCCACACUGGGACUGAGACACGGCCCAGACUCCUACGGGAGGCAGCAGUGGGGAAUUUCGGACAAUGGGCGCAAGCCUGAUCCAGCAAUGCCGCGUGCAGGAAGAAGGCCUUCGGGUUGUAAACUGCUUUUGUCAGGGAAGAAAUCUUCUGGGCUAAUACCUCGGGAGGAUGACGGUACCUGAAGAAUAAGCACCGGCUAACUACGUGCCAGCCGCCGCGGUAAAAC
rnacentral:rRNA from 1 species